GGCUUCUGAGAAAAAUACACCCAUUCCCUGGAAGUUCCAGGCCUGGGGGGAAACAGGGGAGGGGAAGGCAUUGCCUGCUCGGAUCUGGGAUGUGGCCACUCGUCUCUGUGCCCUUUCUAAAGAACUCGUUCUUGUUUCCUUGCUUGCUAAGAGUAAAUUCUUCAUGACUCCCUUUAUUACCCGGUCCUGCUGGAAGUCUCUUACUAGAGCCCAGGAAUGGAGAUUGCUUUUGGGGUUAAAACUAGUAGGAUGGCCAAGCAUCCCAUAGCCUGACCAAGAAAGCUUCAAGAAACUUUGAAAACCCAGUUGAGACACUAGCAGGAAGGGCUGCAGGCCGGGAUGCAGGCAUGGACAGCCAUCAGCCAUGGGCUGGAGUUUCACUGGGAUGUUCGGUGGUGAACAAUGGGGCAGGAAAAAAGUACUGUGGAGAGAUUGACAUGAUGGACCUCAAAGUCCAAGCUGAGGGACAAAGAGGCAGCAGGUAAGGGGCGGCAGAGGAAGACAGAUGUCUAUGAGUUCAAGGCCCACUUGAUCUGCAUAGCAAAUUCCAGGCCAGUCAAGGCUACACAGUAAGAUUCAGUCUCUAAAUAAAUAACGAAAUAUCCAAACUGGCAUUGAGCGAAAAAACACUAAUACCAGGGGAGGAAGAGAGAGAAACUUGAUACUCUCCCUCCAGAGGCUAUAGCCAAGUUCUACAUUCUUUCGGGCAUGUUUCCCGGACACUGGGAGAAUGUUCUCCUGAAACUGCCCCUUCCGGUCUAGUCACAUUCUAUAGGAGACGCCAGACCUCCUGGUCUCCUCCAGGGGCUAGGCAACCUACACAGGAACCCUCAGGCUCAGCACCCUGCCUGUAAUCUUGAAAGUCUCCCCAGAUCAGGCUUGCCAGUUCUGUUCCCCCAACCUGGGGCUACAGUCUGAAUCUUCUGGGUCUUCAUGUGCUGGCCAAGUGGGGAAUGCAGUCAGCCCAGGCCAGGUAGGGAUGAAACCCUCCAAGGAGUCUUCUUUUCUGAGUCUCUGUUACUCCUACUUCCAGAUCUGUAUCCUGGGAAGCCGCCUUUCAAGUCUCCAGCAAGAAGUGACCGACAGGGCAGGUGCGGUGGCACAUACCUGUGAUCCCAGCACUCAGGGAGGUAGAGGCAGGCAGAUCUCUGUAAGCUUGAGGCCAGCCUGGUCUACAAAGUGAGUCCAGGACAACCAAGAGAACCCCUGUCUCAAGAAACCAAGAAGAAGAAGAAGAAAAAGAAGAAGAGGAGAAGGAGGAGGAGGAGGAGGAGGAGGAGGAAGAGGAGGAGGAGGAGGAGGAAGAGGAGGAGGAGGAGGAAGAGGAAGAGGAGACUGACAAGAAGACUUAGCAAGGUCCUCCCUGAAAAUGAAUGCUGGCUACCUAUUGUAUGGAACUAUGGCAGAGCACCCAUCAUUAGGGAUAUAGUUACUAUUCACUCUCUUUUUCAUAUGGAACUCAGUCUUACCAACAACAAUAUGAAAUAAAUACCAGUUUACUGAGAAA